rnacentral:rRNA from 1 species
UACGAAGGGGGCUAGCGUUGUUCGGAAUUACUGGGCGUAAAGCGCGCGCAGGUGGUCUUUCAAGUCAGUGGUGAAAGCCCGGAGCUCAACUCCGGAAAUGCCAUUGAAACUGUAAGACUUGAGGAUGAGAGAGGUGAGUGGAAUUCCCAGUGUAGAGGUGAAAUUCGUAGAUAUCUGGAGGAACACCGGUGGCGAAGGCGGCAUCCUGGACCGGUAUUGACGCUGAUGAGCGAAAGCCAGGGGAGCAAACGGG